UCUUUAACUAUUUUUUGUAUCAAUUGCAAUUGCAAAGUUCCUCUUUUAUCUAAAAUUCUCUAUUCAAUCGAUUAGAUUUUUCAUAUUUGUAAAGAAAAACAAUACAUUUAUUACAAAAAAACUCUCUCUUUCUGGGCGACUCUAGAAGCGACUCAACAGUAGUUCACCGCCUUAAUUUCUUCAGUGAUUUCGACUUCCGCCGGCAGCGGAUUCUCUUUCCGGUUAUCGGAUCUAUUAAUUUCUCAUCAUGGGUGAAAAAGAUCUGUGGCUUGCUUUGCAAAAUCUCAAUUUAGGCUCGGAGAGGACACCCUUGACGCUAUCCGUAGAGGCAAAUAAGAAGCGAGAAACGGAUCAUCGCCUCAGUCUUGUGGUAAAAGGUUUGCAUCCCUCACAGAACCCAGCAGGUAUCAAGGUCAUUAUGCCAAAAAUUUGGAAACUUGAAGGGCGAAUCACAAGCCGAAUCAAUGAAGAUGGUUCUGUCCAAAUUUUCUUUCAACAUGAACAUCAAAUGCUUACAGUUCUGGACAAGGGACCAUGGACCUAUAAAGAUUGGCUGGUGGUUGUUGACAAAUGGACUCGAAGGAAUUAUCCUGAUUAUCUCUGUGUAAUCCGUUUUUGGAUCAAAAUCCUAAAUAUACCUGAUGAUUGCAAGGAAGAUAGAUCGAUUAAGGAGAUUGGGGGUGUUUUGGGUUUAAAUCAUGUGGAGGAAGUCUUCAUACAACAACCAAUUGCAGACAAAGCUGGUGAAGUAUGGGUUCGUGUUCCUUUUGACAUAUCAGGAAAGUUAAUCUUUGCACGUUAUUUCACUUUGGAAGAUCAUCGUGAGCCUGUUCUGAUUCGCUAUAUUUAUGAAAAACUUAGAAAGUUUUGUUCUACUUGUGGGAGCCUCACCCAUAUGGCAGCAACUUGCAACACCCACAUUCAGGAAGUGGAACCACUCCCUCUGCCAGCUCCUAUACAUGAGUCCAAUAUGGAGCAAAACAGAGAUACUAAUAUCCAGAUGGAUUCUGAAUCUCACACACCCACACAAGUAGCUGAUGAUACCAUGGGUGAAACAGUGGGAUCCAAUAUCAAUAUGGACACAUCAGAGCAUCAUCAACCCACGGGUUCUCAAGGAGAUAUCAUGGAAUAUUUUCAUCCAGCUGAAGUCCAAGCAGGAAUAAAUCAAACCUUUACCAUUCGUAAAAUAGAAUCUGCUUCAAUGACACAGCAAGAUAGAGGAAUUUAACGCAAGAUUGACGUGGCUGACGAUGAAGAUGAAGCUUCAACAUCUCAAAGAAGAACAAAGGCACCUGAACAGACAACGGAUGCAGGGGAGGUGGCAACCCCGAAGCCACCACUAGCAGAAUGAGGAUAUUGCACUGGAAUUGUCAGGGGCUAAAGAGGAACCCUCUGACAAUUCCUUACCUAAAAGAUAUCAUGAAGUCUUCUAAACCUGAUAUCUUGUUCCUCAUAGAAAUAAUGAACGGCUUUAACUAUGUGAAUAGUCUAGCUACGGAUCUCUGCUAUAAUCAUAGCUAUAUUAUCCCUUCAGACGGCCUUAGUGGAGGAAUGGCUAUUUUUUGGAAUGACAGUGUGCAUAUUGACUUUUUGGAUCCUCCUACUCUAAACUACACGGAUAUGUAUCUUCUUCUAGUCAUCCUACUUUUUGCCUCACUUAUGUUUAUGGCGAUCCAGAUCAGAAACACAUGAAUGCUAUGUGGGAGAAAAUGAUGGUCUAGGCCCAAGGAGGAAUGUAUCGCAGCAAGCCUCGACUAGUUCUUGGGGAUUUCAAUGAUAUCAAGAGUAAUGCUGAAAAAAUAGGAGGUCUAGUACGGUCUGAGAAUUCUUUCAAAAUAUUCAGGCGAAUGCUCCAAUCCUCUGGUCUUCAUGAUUUGAAAACAGUGGGUGCAAAAUAUACAUGGUAUGGUCAAAGAUACACACAUACUGUCCAAUCAAGAAUUGACAGAGCUGUAGCUUCAGCAUAUUGGUUAGAUGCUUUUCUUUUCCUUAAGCCUAUGUACAGCUAUUGGAUUGGAUAGGAUCUGAUCAUCGUCCACUGUUGCUUGAUACGGGUGUUAAAAAAAAAGAAGAGGAUAUGCUUUGUUCAGAUAUGAUAAUCGUUGGCGAUUUAACAAGGAGUUAAAGGAAGAACUGAAAAAAACUUGGACAGCUGAUUGUCAAGAUCUACCUGGAGAUCAAUUUCAUGAAGCUCUGAAAAGAUGCAGAUCUUGUAUGUCCCGCUGGAAGUCGUAUAAUUUCCACAACUCAGCUAAAAGAAUUCAAGAUCUAAAGGAAAAAAUCAAGCAAGCGAUGGAAGAGGAGUAUUGGAGAAUCAAAAGUCGUAUCCAAUGGCUUUAGGCGGGAGACAGAAACACAAGAUUUUUUCAUGAGAAAACAAAGCAAAGAAGAGGAUACAAUAGAAUCACGGCAAUUGCAGAUUCUCAAGGCAAGGUUUGGUACUCUGAAGAGGAUCUUAACAGAGUAAUAAUAGAUUAUUUUGAUGCUCUCUUCUUUUCUGAUUGUCAAGAAGAUAUGGCUGAGGCUUUGCAGCACAUUCAACCUCGUGUAUCCCAGGAAAUGAAUGAUGAUCUUGUAAAACCUGUUACUGAGGAAGAACUAUAUAGAGCUGUUCAUCAAAUGGCAAGAGAAAAGGCUCCAGACCCUGAUGGCUUAAAUCCAGGUUUUUACCACGCCAUUGGGCUACUAUUCGAUCAGCUGUGAUGCAAAGGAUGGGAUUUUCAGAGACUUGGUGCAAAUGGAUUAUGAAGUGAAUCACUACUGUUACCUACUCAGUUCUUGUAAAUGGUCAGCCUGUUGGGAAUAUUACUCCCCAUAGAGGCAUUCGUCGAGGUGACCCCAUAUCAUCUUACUUAUAUUUGUUAUGUACAGAGGGUCUAUCUGCUUUAAUCCAAAAGAACAUUAAAUCAGGAAAUAUUCAUGGUUUCAAAGCAAGCCGAACUGGUCCUGCAAUCUCACAUCUACUCUUUGUAGAUGACUCUUUGCUAUUCUGCAAAGCCACAGAAAGCGAGUGUUCAUCUCUACUUCACAUCCUCCAUCAAUAUGAGAAAAUUUCAGGUCAAGCUGUUAAUAUCCAGAAAUUUGCAAUUACUUUUGGUAUAGGAACUGAUUCAGAAACAAAAAAAUGUAUUAGUCAGAUUCUGGGAAUUCAUAAAACUAAGGGCUUUGGUAGAUAUUUAGGCCUCCCGGAGUUUGUGGGACGUAAUAAAACGAAUGCUUUUUCAUAUCUUGCUCAGAGAGUUGAUCAGAAAAUGUCAAAUUGGUAUACAAAAUUUCUCUCACCUCCAGGCAAAGAAGUACUUCUCAAGUCCAUCAUUACAGCUAUCCCUGCAUAUAGUAUGUCCUGCUUCUCACUGCCUUCGAAAAUCACUAACCAGAUUGAAAGAGCUAUGAUAAGUUUUUGGUGGUCUAGCUCUAAAGAAAAACAUAAGAUUCCCUGGAUUGCAUAGAGGACAAUUACUAAUUUAAAGAGAGAUGGAGGGCUGGCCAUAAGGGACCUCAAAGAUUUCAACAUUGCAUUAUUAGCAAAACAGAGUUGGAGACUACUUCACCAACCAACUUCACUGAUGGCAAGGGUAUUUAAAGCCAAGUAUUAUCCUAAGCAUUCCCUCUUUGAAGCAAAAACAAAAACCCAAGAUAGCUAUGCUUGGAAGAGUAUCACUCAAGACCAGCUCGAGGCCCUGGACAACAUAUAUACCCAAAUUUGACAGUAGCUGAUCUGCUACAACAGGGUACCUGGAAUCAAGAUUUGAUUGAACAGCUUAUUGACCAUGAAGAUAUCAAGUGUAUCAUAAAUCUGAGGCCUUCGGUUACUGGUGCAAAUGAUAUACUUCAUUGGAUAUAUACUCAAGAUGGUCGAUACACAGUUAAAUCAGGAUACCAGCUCUGGCGUAAACUAUCUGCAGAGACCUCAAGCCGUUUCUCUCUUACAAAUCAGAUAAUUUGAGGAAAAGGAGGAUGACUGCUGACAAUAUAUGCCAGAGAUGUGGAGAUUUUGAUGAGACAGUCAAUCAUCUUCUAUUCCAAUGUAGAGUCAUCAGAGAGAUCUGGGAGCAUGUCCUAAACCAAACAGCCCCAGGUACUUUCCUUAUCCAUGAUUCUUUUAGUCAAAAUCUGGAAUCACUACAGAGUUUGAGCAAAAACCAAGGAGAGGAUGUAAGUUUAUUCCCUUUCAUUGGUUGGCGUAUCUGGAAAAUGAAGAAUGAUUUAUAUUUCAACAAUAAGCAAUGGGCUAUUCGCCUAUUCCAGAUAUUAUUAAUAAAGCUCUGUUGGAUUACCAGCAAUGGAAAGAAAGCCUCACAGUUAAUAAGGACACAUCAGCAGGAGGUCAAACCAGAGAUAGAAACAUUCCUCAGGAUAUAUUACAUGCUUCCAGAGUCCUCAAAGAUCUUAUUCAUAAAGAGCAAAAUUAUGUAUGUUUUGUAGAUGGCUCUUGGAUCUCUCCAACAGAUGGAGCAGGCAUAGGAUGGGUCCUAUAUAAUCAAAAUGCGCAGUUUGUACUCCGAGGAAUGGCUGCUAUCAAUCCCAUGAAUACAGCGCUGGAAACUGAAGCAGAGGCGCUAAGGCUUGCAAUGAUUCAUGUAAACAGAAUGGGGUAUAAAAACGUUACGUUCUGUGGAGAUGCACUUAAUCUCUUCUCACGACUUCAGCAAGCCAAGCUAGGCCUCUCGCCAACAGCAAGAACACUCAGCUCUUUUAGCUCAUGUAAUAGAUAUAAAAACGCUUGCUGUGAUUGUAUAAGUUUUUUCAAAGUUCCUCGCGAGCUUAAUUGUGUGACUGAUAGGUUAGCUAAAGAUGCCAGAAUUAGAAAAUUAAACUUUGUAAUAUCAUGGAAUGAUGUAACUUCAGUUUCAAUA